rfam:Oryza brachyantha chromosome 11, whole genome shotgun sequence.
CACUUACAUGUAGAGCUCCCUUCAAUCCAAUCAAUAGAGAAAGACGAUGACGGGCUCAUCUCCCAGGUCAUGCAAACCCAUGCAAGUGCAAGCCUAUGACAUUGCCAUGCACUCCCGAGGUAUCCAUGAACCGGGAGCUGCAUCCUACCACUUCCUCUCCUGAAUUGGAUCGACAGGGAGCUCGUCUUCCUCUUAUC